CGACUACGAGUUUGAUCAUGGCUCAGAUUGAACGCUGGCGGCAUGCUUUACACAUGCAAGUCGAACGGUAACAGGCCUUCGGGUGCUGACGAGUGGCGAACGGGUGAGUAAUGCAUCGGAACGUGCCCAAUCGUGGGGGAUAACGUAGCGAAAGUUACGCUAAUACCGCAUAAGCCCUGAGGGGGAAAGUGGGGGACCGCAAGGCCUCACGCGAAUGGAGCGGCCGAUGUCAGAUUAGCUAGUUGGUGGGGUAAAGGCCCACCAAGGCGACGAUCUGUAGCGGGUCUGAGAGGAUGAUCCGCCACACUGGGACUGAGACACGGCCCAGACUCCUACGGGAGGCAGCAGUGGGGAAUUUUGGACAAUGGGCGCAAGCCUGAUCCAGCCAUGCCGCGUGCGGGACGAAGGCCUUCGGGUUGUAAACCGCUUUCAGCCGGAAAGAAAUCGCCGUUUUUAAUACAGACGGUGGAUGACGGUACCGGAAGAAGAAGCACCGGCUAACUACGUG
rnacentral:rRNA from 1 species